CUCCUAUUACAUCUCUGAUUUCAGCGUCUGAGGGCGGGGCCGGGCGGGGCCUCCUCGUGAGUGAGUGCACAGGCAGGGCGAGGACGCGGGAUGAGACGGGUGGGCGGUGAGGCCCCGCCCCUCACAUUGGCUCCGCCCCAGGGCGUCCUCUCCGGGCUGGGCGUGGGCUUUUUGCUCUCCCUAUGGGUGGCCUUGGGUGCCACGCUGUACCCACCCAGUGAGCAGACCAUGGGUGUCCUGCCGUCUUCCGCCACGGGCUGUAUGGUUUCCUUCAGCAACGCCUCGGUCCUAUACUCGCUUGCCACCAUCAACAACUCUGGGGUCUGGAAGAAAUUCCUUCGGGCGCCAAGAGCGCCCCCACCUUCCGGCCUGCAGCGGAGGACCUCCCGCUUUUCCUGCAGUGUGAGGCCAAGGGGCGCGGGUCCUGGGGGCCUAGCAGCUGCAGAGACCAGGACCCCCGGGACCAUGAGACCAACCUCUGAGGGCGGGGUCAGCACCUGGGAUUGACUUGCGGCUGGGCCAAUGCCAGGCUACCUGCCAGGGGCCUCCUACUGCUAUUGGCUGGACAGCAUCCUAUGCAAAUAAUCUUCGACAGGCUCCCAUUGCCUUAUGGGAAGGCCCACAGUUCAGUGGGGACCUCAGAAAGCGAGCUUCCUGGAAAGAGGGUCGGUGCAGGUAUCUUUGUGUAAAUGAAAAUGAGGUCCUACUGGAGCGGGGUGGAUCUGAAUCCAAACUCUGGGGAAGAGCGCUGGGCCGGGGGUGGUGCUGCACGCCUGUCACCUCGGCACUCUGGAGGCCGUGUCUCAAACGGAACAAGCAAGAGAAGAAAAGAAAGUGACGGAGAAACAGACCCUAGAGCCACCAGAACAUGGAAGCAGAGAGCCAGGAAAUCCCAGGAGUUGGCAGCAGCUGCAGGAAGCCGGAAGCCGGAAGGAGGCUGGGACUCGGGCUUCCUCAGAGCCCUCAGCAGCCGCGUCUCUGCUGAUGCCUUGACUUCGGAUUCCUGAACUCCCAGAGGACUCUUUGUGUUGUGUUCUGCUGCCUAGCUGAUGGCAGUUUGUUCCCGCAGCCGCAGAGCUCGGACUCACCACCUGACCCAGCCCGGCCACCCCUGAGUACUUUCUUCCUUUUUCACGGCUGAGUAGUAUUCUGUUGCUUGGAUAGACCAUUUGUUCACCAAGAGUGGACUCUGGUUCCCAGCAGUUGGUGAUUAGAAAUAAAACUGCUACAGACAUUCGUGUGCAAGUCUUCAUGGGAACGUAUAGCAGCCCUUCUUUUGUUUUGCUUUUUCUUUAUGCUGCUAGGGAUGGGAAUGCUGAGCUAAAUCUCCAGCCCGUUUUUUUAUUUUUUAUUUUGAGACAGGUGGGGGGAUUUAGCUCAGGAUUUCCUCCACCUGCCUCACAAGCGCGAGGUCCUUAGUUCAAUUCCUAGUACCAAAAAAAAGCAUAUUUUGAGACAGGAUCUCACUGAGGUGCCCAGGGUGGGCUCCAACUUGGGAUCCUCCUGCCUCAGCCUUCCAGAGUGCUGGGAUGAUGGGUGUGGGCCAGCACACCCGGCUUUGGUACUUUUUCUUCCAGCAGUGCCCAGCGUCCCUAUGUCAUGACUGAAGUUGUCCCCAGCUCGAACUGGAACGUGCUGCCCCCCUCUCCCCACCGCUGCAGUACAGGCAGCUUUCUCACCGCUGACUGAUCAGGCUAAUCUCCUCCUCCGCUCGGUUUUGAAACAGCCACAAGCG
ensembl:lincRNA